rnacentral:rRNA from 1 species
CUGGUAUGCACUGGCUUCGCUGAUUCCUCCUUUCUGAAGAACUGUAAUGUCAUUAAUUUGGUGUUGCAGGGAAACAGGACUGUUACUUUGAAAAAAUUAGAGUGUUUAAAGCAGGCUAACGCUUGAAUACAUUAGCAUGGAAUAAUGAAAUACGACGCUCGAUCCUAUUUUGUUGGUUUCUAGGAUUGACGUAAUGAUUAAUAGGGAUAGUUGGGGGCCUUAGUAUUCAAUUGUCAGAGGUGAAAUUCUUGGAUUUAUUGAACACUACCUACGGCGAAAGCCUUUGCCCAGGAUGUUUUCAUUAAUCUUUAACGAAAGUUAGGGGAUCUAACACGAUCACAUACCGUCGUAGUCUUAACCAUUCACUAUGCCGACUAAGGAUCGGAUGAUGUUAAUUUUUUAAUGACUCACUCAGCGCCUUACC